CAGAUAGAGGUCGCAUUUUUCAUCAGUAUCCCGCCGGAUGCUUCAGGGGCAGGGGAAGACGGGGGAAAGGGGAGGAUGCCGAAAGGACUGUAUGCCUGACAUGGAGUUCUUGGGCAUAGGGUGAAGAACCAUAUGACUGUCAUCGCAGGAUGGAGCACUAUCGGG
rnacentral:ncRNA from 1 species